rnacentral:rRNA from 1 species
UGGGGAAUAUUGGACAAUGGAGGAAACUCUGAUCCAGCAAUUCUGUGUGUGUGAAGAAGGUUUUAGGACUGUAAAACACUUUUAGUAGGGAAGAAAAAAAUGACGGUACCUACAGAAGAAGCAACGGCUAAAUACGUGCCAGCAGCCGCGGUAAUACGUAUGUUGCGAGCGUUAUCCGGAAUUAUUGGGCUUAAAGGGCAUCUAGGCGGUAAGACAAGUUGAAGGUGAAAACCUGUGGCUCAACCAUAGGCUUGCCUACAAAACUGUUGAACUAGAGUACUGGAAAGGUGGGUGGAACUACACGAGUAGAGGUGAAAUUCGUAGAUAUGUGUAGGAAUGCCGAUGAUGAAGAUAACUCACUGGACAGAAACUGACGCUGAAGUGCGAAAGCUAGGAGAGCAAACAGG